rnacentral:tRNA from 1 species
GGAUUGUGGCUCAGCGGUAGAGCGCUCGCCUAGCAUAUGUGAAGUCCUGGGUUUGAUCCUCAGCACCA